UAGGGAAUCUUCCACAAUGGACGCAAGUCUGAUGGAGCAACGCCGCGUGAGUGAAGAAGGUUUUCGGACCGUAAAGCUCUGUUGUUGGUGAAGAAGGAUAGAGGUAGUAACUGGCCUUUAUUUGACGGUAAUCAACCAGAAAGUCACGGCUAACUACGUGCCAGCAGCCGCGGUAAUCGUAGGUGGCAAGCGUUGUCCGGAUUUAUUGGGCGUAAAGCGAGCGCAGGCGGAAGAAUAAGUCUGAUGUGAAAGCCCUCGGCUUAACCGAGGAAUUGCAUCGGAAACUGUUUUCUUGAGUGCAGAAGAG
rnacentral:rRNA from 1 species